CCCACCCUGCUUUCUUAAACAGAGAGCAAGAUCUUCGAAGAAGAUACAAGGCCAAGAACCGAUCUCACGAAGGCCAGAGGGGCCAUCAUGCGUGUCGUGCAGAUGAAUAAUUAAUAGCAACCGAUGAAGGAAGAGAGUAUAGGAUGACGAGGAGAGUACAAGGACGAGGACGAGAACGUGGACGA
rnacentral:lncRNA from 1 species